rnacentral:rRNA from 1 species
AGAGUUUGAUCAUGGCUCAGAUUGAACGCUGGCGGAAUGCUUUACACAUGCAAGUCGAACGGCAGCACGGGGGCAACCCUGGUGGCGAGUGGCGAACGGGUGAGUAACACAUCGGAACGUGCCCAGUCGUGGGGGAUAACGUAGCGAAAGCUACGCUAAUACCGCAUACGAACUCUGGUUGAAAGCGGGGGACUCGCAAGAGCCUCGCGCGAUUGGAGCGGCCGAUGGCAGAUUAGGUAGUUGGUGGGGUAAAGGCUCACCAAGCCGACGAUCUGUAGCUGGUCUGAGAGGACGACCAGCCACACUGGGACUGAGACACGGCCCAGACUCCUACGGGAGGCAGCAGUGGGGAAUUUUGGACAAUGGGCGCAAGCCUGAUCCAGCCAUUCCGCGUGCAGGAUGAAGGCCCUCGGGUUGUAAACUGCUUUUGGACGGAACGAAAAGGCCUUUUCUAAUACAGAGGGCUCAUGACGGUACCGUCAGAAUAAGCACCGGCUAACUACGUGCCAGCAGCCGCGGUAAUACGUAGGGUGCAAGCGUUAAUCGGAAUUACUGGGCGUAAAGCGUGCGCAGGCGGUUAUGUAAGACAGGUGUGAAAUCCCCGGGCUUAACCUGGGAACUGCAUUUGUGACUGCAUAGCUAGAGUACGGUAGAGGGGGAUGGAAUUCCGCGUGUAGCAGUGAAAUGCGUAGAUAUGCGGAGGAACACCGAUGGCGAAGGCAAUCCCCUGGACCUGUACUGACGCUCAUGCACGAAAGCGUGGGGAGCAAACAGGAUUAGAUACCCUAGUAGUCC